GCAGAAGCUCAAUGCCACAGAAAGUUGUCCGCGAGUGUAAUAACCGAGUUGCCCCACGCGUUCGUCGUUGAACCCUUACUUGCUCUUUGAGACGUACGCGCGCUGUCGCGCGACCAGUUUGUGGUGCAUGAAAGAGGAAUCACCGCCACCACCACCGCCACCGCCACCACCACCGCCACCGCCUUGAUCGUGGCUAUCGCCUGCGGUGCCUUCUCCGAUGCCACCUGGGAAGUCAACACCCCAAAUGAACGAUCAGCGAAGGCACACAGGAAAAACAAGCAUUCGCGAUAGCCGAAAGUACAGCAAUAAGCACAAAUAAAUGGUUGUCCUACA